rnacentral:tRNA from 1 species
AAGUUGGUAGCUGAGUUGGAGCAGCCCCGAAAGCGUUCGGGGUUGGUCCAGGGUUCGAGUCCCUGCCAACCCACCA